rnacentral:rRNA from 1 species
GACGGAGGAUGCAAGCGUUAUCCGGAAUGAUUGGGCGUAAAGCGUCCGCAGGUGGCAGUUCAAGUCUGCUGUCAAAGACCGGGGCUUAACUUCGGAAAGGCAGUGGAAACUGAACAGCUAGAGUAUGGUAGGGGCAGAGGGAAUUCCUGGUGUAGCGGUGAAAUGCGUAGAUAUCAGGAAGAACAUCAGUGGCGAAGGCGGCCUGCUGGGCUGUUGCUGACGCUGAGGCGCGACAGCGUGGGGAGCAAACAGG